CCUACGGGAGGCAGCAGUGAGGAAUCUUGGUCAAUGGACGAGAGUCUGAACCAGCCAAGUAGCGUGAAUGAUGACUGCCCUAUGGGUUGUAAACUUCUUUUAUAUGGGAAUAAAAUGUUCCACGUGUGUGAUUUUGUAUGUAACAUAUGAAUAAGGAUCGGCUAACUCCGUGCCAGCAGCCGCGGUAAUACGGAGGAUCCGAGCGUUAUCCGGAUUUAUUGGGUUUAACGGGAGCGUAGGUGGAUUGUUAAGUCAGUUGUGAAAGGUUGCGGCUCAACCGGAAAAUUGCAGUUGAAACUGGCAGUCUUGAGUACAGUAGAGGUGGGCGGAAUGCGGGGUGUAGCGGUGAAAUGCUUAGAUAUCACGAAGAACGCCGAUUGCGAAGGCAGCUCACUGGACUGCAACUGACACUGAGGCUCGAAAGUGUGGGUAUCAAACAGGAUUAGAUACCCAAGUAGUC
rnacentral:rRNA from 1 species